GGCAGCAUAAAAAUGUUCGAGAUAGAAAAACAAUGGAUGAAUAUUUGCUGGCAAUGUUUGUUUUGUUUUUGUUAUUUUGUGAUGGGUUACCAUGAAUUAUUUGAGACGUGGCAACACUGAUGGUUUACAAAUACUUCCUUUUUCCUACUUGAGAGGAGAAAAGGGAAUGCAGGAUGCCCUGAAUCAUCUAGUCCUAUCCACCCUUGCCACCCAACGGUCAAGGUGUCAAAUUUACACCCGUGCUUCUUUGAGAGGAAGCUUCAGCAGCUUUUCCACACGUGCUGCUUCCUUCCUGCAUGGUUUGGGAAAUGCUGAACCUAGUGCAGCCCAAAAAGCAUCUGCUGGUGCCCCUGCUCACUGCACAGCGCAGCUGUCGGCAUGCACAACAUCACCCUAA
rnacentral:lncRNA from 1 species